UGUGACUGAAGAUAUAAGAGGCGGUGAAAUGACAACAACACAACACACAGUUUGGAGUGACACCCAAAAUCUUCCUCAACCAACAGACCAACAGUCAAGAUGAGAUUUAUAGUGCCAGUGUUUGUUUUCCUCGCCGUGGCAGCAUUUCACACCGCUUUCUCAGCCUCUCUGGAAUCUGCAGAGAAAGAGGAAAAGGUUGCUCAAUACGAUGGGCUAACUGAGCUGCAGAAAAUAGAUCAGAUGGAGUUUGAGGCUGCUCAAAAGAAUGAGGCCGCUCAGAUGAAUGUUACAGAGGAACAGAAUGAGGAGACCCACUACCUUGAGGCUGUUAAGGAUGAAUCUGAGGAGGAGCACAUCGAAGCCGAGGGUGACAAGACAGCAGAGGGAGGCGGCAACUCUGACACUGCAGCUCAUGAGGAAUCCGAGUCUGAGUCCUCUGAGGAAGCAUACGCUAGUGUGUUUUAUCUUUGACAGGGAGACAGAGGCGGGAGCACCAUGAAGCAGUUACAGAGACUGUGAGCAGUUUGGACGAAGUCAGUCAGGAUUCAACCAAGGAACAAGAUGUACUGGAGUGAGAAAGCGCAGAAACAUGCGGAUCCCAGCGCUCACUCAUCACCCGGUGCCUGAGCUGCGCUGAAUUUACUGUCAAUAAAAAGGGAACUAUCCCACCUAUCUGUAUAA